GUCCCUGGUUCCAAAUGAACAUCACACUGUCCACAAAAGCUUUGUAACUGUGAGUUCCAUCCUUUGGUAAUAUUAUACCCUUUGAUGUUGGAUUCAUCCUUUGAUGUUGUCUACGGGAUAUAUGCUGCGGCUCAAACCAUUGUUAAUAUUAUACCCUCUAUAUUAUCUUUGAAUCUUUUUUCAGUUUUAUUGACAGCGGAAUGACUCAGAAUGUAUCUUGCAGUUUUCUCUGCAACUGUCUUGCUUAAAAUCACUUUGUGAACUCCUUGUGUAUUUAGUCACGGCCUUUGUUUGAGAUACUUCAAAUUCAUUUAAUUUGGGUAUUACGUUUUUUAAACUCAGGCUACUGAGCAAAAAAGUGUAAAACUGUAUAAUGCUUAUAUAAUAAAUCAUUCUUAUUAUUAUUAUCAUUAUUAUUACAAAAAUCAGCAGGUUUGUAAACUUUAAAUUUUCAACAAAACUUAGAAAAGUUUAUUUUUUCAAUAUUUUUUUUGAAAUAUAAAAAUAAGUUUAAAAAAUUGAAACAUGAGGGAUCAGAUAUGAAAAUUGGAGCGCCCAAUCUAACCUAUACUAAAAGGGAUAUAUGAGCAUCAGUUAGACCAUCCACGUCACUCUAAAAAAUCUACCAAUAGUGAAGCUUCAUUUUGCCACGUCACUACUGUUUUGUCGAUCAAAGAUAAAAAUCGGGUCUUUGGUAUUAUUUGGUUAGAAGUUCUUAGCCCAACAAUGGCCCAUUUUCUGUAUACAACCUAAUACCUGUAAAAUAUAGUUUCCACAUCGUCGUCUUCGAUCUCAUCUCAUCGCCACCUUCAUCUGUACCGCUUCCCCUUCUCCUUUUAAACGUAUACGAUCAACAUAUUAAGUCUCAUCAAACUCAAUCAUUAACUGCAGAGCUACUGAAGGCAACAUAGACAGGGAAUCAAUCGGCAAGGCCCCAUGGCUCUCUUCUUCAGUGACGUCGUUGUUGGUUUGGGCUGGAGCUUCUUCUUAUUGAUGAACUGUGGCUAUCUGCUUAAUGUUUAUUAAUCACAACAAUCAACACAAAACGUAUAGAAGGCUACGCUGCUCUCUGUUCAUGUCCUUAUCUAGAGUUUUAAUUGACAACGAUGUGCCCCCCGACCAUUAGGAUCGGUGGAUCUGGAAUGGACAUCAGAAGCAAAGCCAGGCAGGAGUUAUUGCUAUGGUCAAUGCAUCUGAGGUAAUAAAGGUCAAGACGCUAACCAUUCGUGAGAUCUUUGCCUUUUUGAAACAGGAACAAGCUCAGGCAGCCUUUUUAACUGCAUAGCCACCAUUGGUACGUUAUGUGGGACUCUAGAUGUUAUAAUAUUCCAUGUAGUGAUUGCCAAACUAAGGUGAACAGAGGACUGACCUCAUUGAUGUGUCCAAAAUGUGAUAACGUAAAUGUUACUGAAUUUUCGAGGUUAGCUUUCCUAAUCCUCACAUUUCUACAUCACUUAUCCUUUCAUUCUAAGUCGUCUGCUCUUCAAGAAGGUAUUGUUCUGAAAUUUUCGCUUACCACAAAGGCAAGAAGGCCACUUUUGUAAGACUUGGUGAUGCACGCCUGAGCUCACGGUAAGGCAGGCGUUAGUGUUAAUUGACAACUCUUUCGAGGGCAAAUGGAGACAUAGGUGCUCAUCAUGAGAUGCCAACUCCACAAUGUCUGCUGGAUAUAAUAGGGCAAACCCACAAGUUCAGAGUGAAGGUUUCAGACUAGAAAUACUAUAACGGCACCAAGAUUGUCUCCAUUGCUCUCCUGCCCCCUCUACCACAAGCCGUUGAGUACCAGUAAUUCUGGUGAUAAUGGUGACCAGUUUCCUGGGGCAAGUGUAGCAUGUGAGUCUGCCUUAGGUUCAACCUGCUCCGGUGGUCCUUCUUGUGAGGCAAGUGCUCCUAAUAGUGCGAUUGGAGAGAAAGAAGUGUGCAAAACGCAGUAACUAAAACAUCCCACAGUGGCCCUCUCAACUCCAUGCAUGCUUCAUCACCAUUGAACUAUCAUUAUCUACCUCACUUAUGUUUUUUUCUUUAUCUAGGAUUUCCAUUCGCUCUUAAUUUUUUCUUAAACUUGGGUUUUCGUCGUUGAAAAUAGUUCACUUAUUUUGA